rnacentral:rRNA from 1 species
GACGAACGCUGGCGGCGUGCUUAACACAUGCAAGUCGAACGGAAAGGCCCUGCUUUUGUGGGGUGCUCGAGAGGCGAACGGGUGAGUAACACGUGAGUAACCUGCCCUUGACUUUGGGAUAACUUCAGGAAACUGGGGCUAAUACCGGAUAGGAGCUCCUGCUGCAUGGUGGGGGUUGGAAAGUUUCGGCGGUUGGGGAUGGACUCGCGGCUUAUCGGCUUGUUGGUGGGGUAGUGGCUUACCAAGGCUUUGACGGGUAGCCGGCCUGAGAGGGUGACCGGCCACAUUGGGACUGAGAUACGGCCCAGACUCCUACGGGAGGCAGCAGUGGGGAAUAUUGCACAAUGGGCGGAAGCCUGAUGCAGCAACGCCGCGUGCGGGAUGACGGCCUUCGGGUUGUAAACCGCUUUCGCCUGUGACGAAGCGUGAGUGACGGUAAUGGGUAAAGAAGCACCGGCUAACUACGUG